rnacentral:rRNA from 1 species
ACGAACGCUGGCGGCGUGCCUAAUACAUGCAAGUAGAACGCUGAAGAGAGGAGCCUGCUCUUCUUGGAUGAGUUGCGAACGGGUGAGUAACGCGUAGGUAACCUGCCUUGUAGCGGGGGAUAACUAUUGGAAACGAUAGCUAAUACCGCAUAACAAUGGAUGACACAUGUCAUUUAUUUGAAAGGGGCAAUUGCUCCACUACAAGAUGGACCUGCGUUGUAUUAGCUAGUAGGUGAGGUAAUGACUCACCUAGGCGACGAUACAUAGCCGACCUGAGAGGGUGAUCGGCCACACUGGGACUGAGACACGGCCCAGACUCCUACGGGAGGCAGCAGUAGGGAAUCUUCGGCAAUGGGGGCAACCCUGACCGAGCAACGCCGCGUGAGUGAAGAAGGUUUUCGGAUCGUAAAGCUCUGUUGUAAGUCAAGAACGGGUGUGAGAGUGGAAAGUUCACACUGUGACGGUAGCUUACCAGAAAGGGACGGCUAACUACGUG